CAGUAGCCGCGGUAAUACGUAGGUGGCAAGCGUUGUCCGGAAUUAUUGGGCGUAAAGGGCUCGCAGGCGGUUUCUUAAGUCUGAUGUGAAAGCCCCCGGCUCAACCGGGGAGGGUCAUUGGAAACUGGGAAACUUGAGUGCAGAAGAGGAGGGUGGAAUUCCACGUGUAGCGGUGAAAUGCGUAGAGAUGUGGAGGAACACCAGUGGCGGAGGCGACUCUCUGGUCUGUAACUGACGCUGAGGAGCGAAAGCGUGGGGAGCGAACAGGAUUAGAUACCCCCGUAGUCCCUGUCUCUUAUAC
rnacentral:rRNA from 1 species